GUGGAACAGCAACUGUACAAUCGACUUUGUUAGCCUUUUUUUGAUAUAUAUAUAUAUAUAUAUAUAUGAUUGUGUUACUACUAAAUAGUCGUGUAAUCGUGGCUAUAAUUCACACUGCUGUUGACAUGAAUCUGUUUUUAUGGUCAUUAUGUCCUUCUUCCCCACCAUCCCUGAUGGAAGCCCCUCUCUCUUUUAGCAUUCCUUGGUUGUCCUGCUAGCCUGCUGCUGCUGCUGUUGUUUUUAAAGUUAAUCCUUUACCGAGACCUGCCUUGUGGAUAGUACAGUUGAUCAAAUUGGAGUCUCUCCAUCUCUCUCCCCCCUUAAAUGUAUUCACCCUCCUCCUCCAGGAGGACUGGGGCCAAAGUGAACAACAGGGAGAAACAAAAACGACAGUUUACCAUGGGGUGAGAACCCCGCACCCCCUCUGCUGCCUUAUACAGAACUAAAAAAAAAAAAAAAAAAAACAACGAAUACCUGGCUUGUUCUGACUGGAGUAGUUACUAAGCUUGCAUGCCUCCUAGCUGUGUGCAGAGUAUAUCAAGCAGGGCUGGCCGUAAAGUAGUCUCAACCAAGGGCUAACUACUAGUAGUGCUGUCAACCUCGUUAGCCCUCAACUAGCGUAAACACCCGUCUGUAACUUCUGUAGGUUACUUAGACGCUGCUUGCUGUUAUAACCCUCCCUACCUAGUUACCAACUGGUCACUUUCUGUAGGGCGUCACCAAUGGUAUAAUUUGUAAUCAGCUGAUGAUAUUUACCACUGGUUCUCGUUUCCUUCACCAAACCCUAGUCAGCAUUGAUUAAACCAUGGCACUUAUAUUUUCCUUAGCCAUGAGGCCUUAUCGCAGACUUUAAAGUGUUUAAAAAAAGAAUUUAACGCUUAUUUCAUUUAUUUUUUGUUGCCUUAACAUGCUAUACAUCUGUCUGCUGAGGCAGAAUACCCAUGCUCCCCCACUCAUUCAGAUUGUGUUGUGACCCCCAGCCUGCUACAGGAGGUCACAUGUCAUAGUAGUGUCCAAUAGCAGAGAAGGCACAGGCCUGGUGGAUGACACGCCGUCCGCUGAUGGAGACAUUGACGGUGUUCAGCUACAGUCGAGGUCGGCCAGGUGAUGGUGUUUAGGUGUUUUAGCUACAUCGAGGUCGGCCAGGUGACGGUGUUUAGGUGUUUAGCUACAGUCGAGGUCGGCCAGGUGACGGUGUUUAGGUGUUCAGCUACAGUCGAGGUCGGCCAGGUGACGGUGUUUAGGUGUUUAGCUACAGUCGAGGUCGGCCAGGUGACGGUGUUUAGGUGUUCAGCUACAGUCGAGGUCGGCCAGGUGACGGUGUUUAGGUGUUUAGCUACAGUCGAGGUCGGCCAGGUGACGGUGUUUAGGUGUUUAGCUACAGUCGAGGUCGGCCAGGAUUCUGUCAGUGGGGAGGGGGGGGGGGGUUCAGACUCAAACCUCGGUGGCCAGCCUUCAACCAACUACACUUCUAAAGGAAAUGGCGAGUUAAUGGCGAUGCAUACAAAAAAACUAAAAAGCUUAAGGUCAAGUUUGCACAAUGUGGAGUGGUCGUUCACCAGAAAAAAGGCGUGAUUGAUCAUGUUCGUGUGCGAACGGGGAGGGGUUCUGAAACGGUGUGAACGGAGCUGACCUGAUGAGUGAAACUGUACUGUACCAGACAGAGCAAAUGGAUGUAAAAGUGUGUUUCCCAUGUCGUGAAUGAUCUUGAUGCUGUUCCAUACAUUCCUUCACAUUGUACAGUUUCUAUGAAAAUGCUGGCAUGCUGGUGGGGUUGUGUAUUUGAUCAUUUGUGAUUGCUCUUCUUGGUCAAUAAAGAUUUUGCUUAACUUGGCCUGAAAUGAAA